AUGACAGUGGUUGGUCAGCAGCCUCUUACUGUCACGGGUCCGGGAAGCACCUUAAAUGUAAACCGCGUCAAUCCUAGGGUCACACAGCGAUUCUCACCGUCAUGCACCCACCACUCGGACGCAUAUUUCGAGAUCAAACAAGGCAGGACGGGAGCCCAGCUGGAAGGUGCCUUCUCCCCACCCGCGCAGGUCUGCACAGGGCCCCCAGAGGGGCACCCAGGCCCCAGGCCCCCUGAGCUUGGGGACCCCAGCCCCAGGCAGAGCCCAGAGAUGUCACGAGGGGCACGUGAGCCACCGGAGGGACUCCCGGUCGGCACCAGAGCCCGUGCCCACGCUCUCUCCAGCCCCAUGGGGCUGUGCCGCCCCCCAGGUGGGUGGACCCCGCGGCAGAGCACGCAGGUGGGGGGCAGGGGGUCUGGCGGAGGGUGCAGACCCGGAGUGCGGAGCCAGCGUGGAUGGGAGACCAGGCGCCGCAGGACCCCGCUCCGAAGUCAGGGUGGGCCCCUGCCCUUGGGGUUGCGGGGAGGGCGAGGGGCCAUUCUCUGGUGGAAGGACGGCCACGGCCCCCAGCUCCCGCGAUCAGGGCGGGGCUGCGCCGGGGCGGGGGGCUCGGCUUCUCCCUCCUCCCAGAGAGGAAGGAGGACUCCAGGCCUUUUCGCACAUCUUGUGUGUGGUUUCUCUGCUGUCAACAAUCAACAGGGUGACAGAAGGCGGAGCUGGCCCCGCGCAGCCCUGAAGGCGGUGUCCUGGUUGGAGCCGCUCCCCCCGCCCCUCCCGUCCCCGCCCCUCCCGUCCCAAACCCUCCCGUCCCCCCGCCCCUCCCGUCCCCCACCAGUCCCCGCCCCCUCCCCCUCCCGUCCCCCAGGGUGCGGGGAGGACCCUCGCCCCCCAGGACGGCGAGCCCCGCCCACACCUGCCGCGCGACCCGCUCCCCGGAAAGCCCGGCGCCUGCGCGGGGAGGACUCGCACCCCGCUCCGGGGCCCAGCUCCCGCCUGCGUCCCCAGCCGCGGGCCCCCAGCUCGGCCUCCCGGGGACUCUUCUCCUGA
rnacentral:lncRNA from 12 species